UAAGACUUGUGGUCAAGUCUCUUAAAGGGGGAUAGCAUGUUAAGGGGAGAAUCACAAUAUUAAUAAUAAGCAGUUUCAGUUUGUUAAUGACUGUAAAUGACUGCAUGUUGUAAUAGUUAGAGUAACUGAAUUCUGUUAUAAACUCCUUAAUUCUAGCAAUACGGUUAUGUUACAGCAACUGUAAGAAGCUAUAAAUAGCAUUACCUUUCUUGUAAUCAAAUUCAUUCAAGAAAAUAAAUAAAACUCUCUCUCUCUUUUCUUCUGAUCUCCCUCUUCUUCUAAUUCUGGAAAAUUCUCUUUCUCUCUUCAAUUUCUGAAAUUCAGUUGUAAAACUGAAAUAUCUUGCAGCUGAUUCCACCCUGCAACAUUCUCCGACGGCAACAUUGCAAAUGAGAUUCAGUCGUUUCCUGGAUUUUCUCUUCUCAACGUCUCUCUCUUCUUAUCUCAAAAGUCAUGGAGAUGAACCAUGGGGCGAUCCUGUGCAUCAAAGCUCACGAAUUCUCUGGGUUAAUCUCAUCUAACCAAGACUGGAGUGUGAUCACAGUAACAAAAUUUCAUCCAAAUUCACACGCAAGAAUUGGUUAAAGUUUGCCAAGUUUAUCCGUUAAUUUUGUAGCUUCAUAUUUGUGAAAAAUAAUUCUUUGUCCCAGUACACGUACCAAAAUUAAAUAUGACUUGAUAUAAUUCUUUUCUUCUAUAAACUAUUUGAGAAAAAUUUACGCAGGAAAGUCAGAUUUCUCACAGUUUGUGAUGUUAUGUGUAGCAGUCAGAACUCAGAAGAAAUGGUGUGGGGAGCUUCAGAUUUUGGUCUGAAUGUGAAGAGUGCUGGUGAUAGUUUGCGAGCUUACAGGUUGAAGCCUUAGUUAUUCUACGUGCCAAGCUGUGCGUGGUUUGCAAGCAGCGUGCAGAAAUGAUGUUUGAAGGGUUAAAAUCUACACUGAUUGUGCUAAUGUUAUUGCAUUCAGGAAGAAAUAACCUGUUGUAUUAGUAAGGUUAGCAGGUUGUUUGUUCUUGAAGCGCGUCUCUUAGCCACUAAGCUAGAAAGAGUGAGGGAUAAUGAUUGUAUCUUCCUGUUUGUAAUUAAUGAGACAAUGCCUUAAACUAGGAAGAUUAGGUAGCAUCUAAAUAUUCUAGCCUUUGUUUAAUGAUAUUUGAACGUUGCUAUGUGCCAGCUAAUAGUCUGCUUCGAAAUUGAGUGUAAACCAGAAUUUCAUUUGAGAAAUGACAGACUUAUUUUGAUGUCUUAUAGUA